GGGCUCUUGGCACAGGGGUAGCGCGCUUGCUUUGCACAAACGUUGUGAAUUGCACGAGGUCGAGGGUUCAAAUCCCUCAGUGUCCA